rnacentral:rRNA from 1 species
AGCGAACGCUGGCGGCAGGCUUAACACAUGCAAGUCGAACGAACCUUUCGGGGUUAGUGGCGGACGGGUGAGUAACACGUGGGAACGUGCCUUUAGGUUCGGAAUCACUCAGGGAAACUUGUGCUAAUACCGAAUGUGCCCUUCGGGGGAAAGAUUUAUCGCCUUUAGAGCGGCCCGCGUCUGAUUAGCUAGUUGGUUGAGGUAAUGGCUCACCAAGGCGACGAUCAGUAGCUGGUCUGAGAGGAUGAUCAGCCACAUUGGGACUGAGACACGGCCCAAACUCCUACGGGAGGCAGCAGUGGGGAAUAUUGCGCAAUGGGCGAAAGCCUGACGCAGCCAUGCCGCGUGAAUGAUGAAGGUCUUAGGAUUGUAAAAUUCUUUCACCGGGGACGAUAAUGACGGUACCCGGAGAAGAAGCCCCGGCUAACUUCGUG